ACCCGGGUGGCUCAGUUGGUUAAGUGUCUGACUUCAGCUCAGGUCAUGCUCUCACAAUUCGUGAGUUCAAGUCCCACAUCGGGCU
rnacentral:tRNA from 1 species